GCACGUAUUUCAUAUAUUGCAUCAUACAUGUAAUACAAUACAACACUUGGUCCUUUAUUCAUUCCAACAUUCAUCAAAAGAGAAGAAAUAAGGAAAAUCUAAUGGGAUGAAGGAUUUCCCUCCACCCCAUCAUGCAAUAUAUACCCUAUUAGGAGUAAUUCCACCUACCUUGGAUUUUCCAGCAAAACUCCUCAAAACUCUUUCAAUGGAUGUUCUUCCUAUGCCCUAG
rnacentral:lncRNA from 1 species